rnacentral:rRNA from 1 species
CCCUUAGAUGUUCUGGGCCGCACGCGCGCUACACUGAUUCAUGCAACAAGUUUUGUCCUUGGCUGAUAGGCCUGGGUAAUCUUUGAACGUGAAUCGUGAUGGGGAUAGAUGAUUGCAAUUAUUCAUCUUCAACGAGGAAUUCCUAGUAAACGCAAGUCAUCAGCUUGCAUUGAUUACGUCCCUGCCCUUUGUACACACCGCCCGUCGCACCUACCGAUUGAAUGGUCCGGUGAAAUCUUCGGAUCUGAGAGAUGUCUGAUUAAUUUCGGACGCCUUUUGGAAAAGUUGCUUAAACCUUACCAUUUAGGGGAAGGUGAAGUCGUAACA